CAAGUCAGGACCCUCUGGCCUUUGUUAGUCUUGUAUCAUUUUAACUUUUAGUUUCUUGUGUACAAUUUGGAGUUUAGUAUGGUGUUCAUUAUCACUGGACCAGUAUAUAUUUGUUUAGGGGCCAGCUGAAGGACGCCUCCGGGUGCGAGAGUUUCUCGUUGCAUUGAAGACCUGUUGGUGACCUUCUGCUGUUGUCUGCUCUAUGGUCGGGUUGUUGUCUCUUUGGCACAUUCCCCAUUUCCAUUCUCAAUUUUA
rnacentral:lncRNA from 1 species